CAUCCUGGCUUCCAUGUGAAGAAGACUUUCAGGGGGUAGUGAUGAGAGCACACUGCACUCCAGCCUGGGUGACACAGUGAGACUCCAUCUCAGAAAAAAAAAAAACCAAAAAGAGCGGGCUAUGACCUGUGGAAUCAGACCCUUUUAGCCUUGUCGGUCUCUCUGACUGUAUUCCCUGGACCAGGGUGUUUUGACACUAAGAGGUUUGAGAGCCCUGGACUGGCAGGUCCCUGAGAGCCCGGAAGAGUCGUGGGAUAAUCAGGGAGCUCAGACGGCUGCAUGUUCUUGGAAAAACAACUCCCCCUCUCCCAGCCUCUGUUUUCUCCCUGUCUAGAGAGAAUCCAGCUGGAUGGAGCAGCGGGUUGUCGCAGCAUCUAGGAACUCAGGGCUCCCUGGGUUCAAUCCCUUGCUGGCAAUGAGACUUAGGGCAAGUGACCUCUCUUUGAGCCUCACCUUCCUCAGCUGGGGAGUGGCGACUUUGGCAGGUGCUCAGGAAGCCGUUCCUUUGUGCCAGGUACCACAUUGGGCUUUAUUUAAAGGCUUUAUGUGUAUUAAUGCAUUUAAUUUUCACUACAGCCUGUAAAGGAUGUGCUGUUACUAUCCCCAAUCUAUGGUGGAGGAAACUGGGGCACCAAAAGAUUAGGUCACUUGCCCAAGGUCUCACAGCAGGUA
rnacentral:lncRNA from 1 species